CCGCCUUGAGUGACUCUAUAAGCGCCCAGCCCCUGAAUGACUUACAAACCAGUGAGCAGGUGGUAGGCUCCUGCGCAGGCCUGGGAAGGCUGGACAGGAGGUGAACCACACAUCUGACCUGCGAAGUGGGGGCCUCUGCAGGACAAGAGCUGGCGGAGCAGCCAGGCGGGAUCCCCCAACCCAACUGCUUAGGUGGGUUCAGGUGCUUCUCUCUAGACCAUAGCCCUUGGGCAUCUUUAGCCAGCGACUUGGCAACAAAAAGCUGCUUUGAGUUAACAGCUGAAACUCACAGUGAGUUUACGGGCUCAUACUCUCAGGCUCUGUGCUCAAUGCCUUAUAAUGAUUGCUUCAUAUAUUGCUCACAACAACCCUUGAGGCAGGUGCUGUUAUGAUCCCUGUUUCACAGAUUAGGAAACUGAGGCCUGGACUCGCAGUCACUAAGGAAAAUAAAGACCCAGGAUUUGAACCUGGGACAUAAGAAUAGAAAGCCUACACACACUUCAACCGCUCUGCUUUCUGCCUCUACAAGAGAGCUGAACUGUGGCUAAAUCAGACACAGAUUCACUCAGCCAUCGUGAUGUGGGUGGCUCAGCUGUGAUUCACAUUUGACUUUUUCUUGGACAAGAAUUGUUCACCUAUGUUCUCACAGUAGUACAUGCUGAUUUUUCUGGUUUCUUUUGUUUUUGUCUGAAACAGUAUUGUUCUGUUGCCCAGGCUGGAGUGCAGCAGCUCUUCACAGGUGCCAUCAGAUCAUACUACGGCCUUGAAUUCCUGGUCUCAAGGAAUCCACCCACCUCAGCUUCCCGAGUAGCUGGGACUACAAGCACAUGCCACCAUGCCUCCUGAAAUUUUUUAUUCUUUCGUAAAGACAAGGUCUCACCAUGUUGUCUAGGCUGGUCUAGAACUCCUGGUGUCAAAUGACCCCUCCCUCCUCAGCCUCCCAAAGUGCUGGGAUUACAGGCAUGAGCCACUGCGCCUGCCCUGAUUUUUUUUUUGUAAUAUUCAUGCUACUGAAGUGCUGAACUGCCCUUCCCCUCUGCAAACUUGUUGGGAGGCUGCAGUGUUGGUGAUCAGCCCAGCCCUCGAUUCAGAUUCAGCUCUGAAAUGCUCUUGUAUGUCCCUAGGCAAAUUACUCAACCUCCCAGGGCCUGAGUUUCCUCCUCUGUAAAAUUGGGUAAGAGCAGUACCCCAUCAUCAGUGACAGCUGUGCCAACCAGCAACAAGGGCUGCUGGGGUUGUGUUCUACCCUCCCUCCUCCUGAAGCAGGAAUGCUCUCCCGGUUGGCUGGCCUGCAAGGCUUUUCUGACCCUUCUCUGUUGGCUUAGUUUCAUGGCUGAGCCUCUGCUCUGAUGGCAGCUUGGUGCUAGCAGGUGAUUUUUCUCUUGGGAGAGAGCUGCCAGUCCCCUUGCAUGGCUGUGUACUUUCAGUGCAGCCUUUGGUGUGGCCUGGUUCCUGGGUGGCCCACGAGGUGCCCUUGUACCCAUUUUGUAAGAUUCCUGCUCCUUUGACCUCUUGCCCUGAGGUCAGAGGUCAGCAAACAGUCCUCUGAGGCCAGUACUUCCCAACUUGUUCACAUGAUGCCACACAGACUACAUGGGCAACCCCCUGGGGCACAUGGACCAGGCUGACUGAGGCUGGCAGGGCCUUGCUGGCAUUGGUCGCCCUGGGACCUGGUGCCUGCUUGGGGGAGGAGAGGAUCUAUAGCCCAUUUCAGGCACACUAGUGGGCAGUGCUCUCUAAGGGGCCUUGGUGGCCUGGCCACA
rnacentral:lncRNA from 1 species